GAUGAACGCUGGCGGCGUGCCUAAUACAUGCAAGUCGAGCGAACGGACGAGAAGCUUGCUUUUCUGAUGUUAGCGGCGGACGGGUGAGUAACACGUGGAUAACCUACCUAUAAGACUGGGAUAACUUCGGGAAACCGGAGCUAAUACCGGAUAAUAUUUUGAACCGCAUGGUUCAAAAGUGAAAGACGGUCUUGCUGUCACUUAUAGAUGGAUCCGCGCUGCAUUAGCUAGUUGGUAAGGUAGCGGCUUACCAAGGCAACGAUGCAUAGCCGACCUGAGAGGGUGAUCGGCCACACUGGAACUGAGACACGGUCCAGACUCCUACGGGAGGCAGCAGUAGGGAAUCUUCCGCAAUGGGCGAAAGCCUGACGGAGCAACGCCGCGUGAGUGAUGAAGGUCUUCGGAUCGUAAAACUCUGUUAUUAGGGAAGAGCAUAUGUGUAAGUAACUGUGCACAUCUUGACGGUACCUAAUCAGAAAGCCACGGCUAACUACGUG
rnacentral:rRNA from 1 species